UACGUAGGGGGCAAGCGUUGUCCGGAUUCAUUGGGCGUAAAGAGCGUGUAGGCGGCCAGGUAGGUCGGUUGUGAAAACUGGAGGCUCAACCUUCAGAGGUCGACCGAAACCAUCUGGCUAGAGUCCGGGAGAGGAGAGUGGAAUUCCUGGUGUAGCGGUGAAAUGCGUAGAUAUCCGGAGGAACACCGGUGGCGAAGGCAAUCCCCUGGGCCUGCACUGACGCUCAUGCACGAAAGCGUGGGGAGCAAACAGG
rnacentral:rRNA from 1 species